UAAUAAAAGAGCAGAAUGGCACCUCCCAGGAAACUGCACGCAUCUUUGCGCUCCACUGCAUAUUCAGCGCACGUUUUAAAGUUUAAAAUGUAUCUGUUCUUCGGAUUGGUGAUUUUAUUUUACUAUGCAGACUCACAGACUAUCCACCAGACUCCCGCUGUUGUCUCCAGCUCUCCCGGGGAUGAACUGGAACUGAAAUGCACCGUUCAGGGUACUAGUAACCCUAACAUGUACUGGUACAGACAAGACUCAGGGAAGGGGCUACGAUUUAUGUUUUACUCCACAGGCACAGCUCACAAAAAUCCAGACGAAGCUGUGGACGGUUUCACCGCCAAGCGGCCCAGUGACUCUGCGUUCAACCUGCACACUUCCAGCCUUCGAGUGGAUCAUUCGGCCGUGUAUUACUGCGCCUGGAGUAUUCACAGUGACUCAGAGAGAGGGAGCAGCUCAACAAAAACCCCAAAGCAGCAGGAAACACCUGUGAAAGAGAGAGGAAGGCAGAAAUGCUUCCUGUUGUUUUUUUUCUGCUGAAGAGUAACCAUGUUUAACACAAUUUGAGAUGGGUUACUAUAAAAGUGAGAGAAUACCUAACAAUUAUUGAGACACAGACUAACGAGGUUGACCCGGAAUGGAGAGUCUCUCGCGAUUGUUAAAGUAUAACGUCAAAAUACUUAGAUAUUAUUCACUCUGCAUUUCUCCAGAGACCAGACGACACCAUGUUACAGUCCAACAGGUUUAUUUGAAAUC